GGGGUUUAAUGCUGGUCGCUGCUAACGAUUGCUGGAGUUUUUAUUUAUUCUCGAUCCCUU
rnacentral:tRNA from 1 species